rnacentral:rRNA from 1 species
AGUGAACGCUGGCGGUAGGCCUAACACAUGCAAGUCGAACGCCAGCACAGGAGAGCUUGCUCUCUGGGUGGCGAGUGGCGGACGGGUGAGGAAUACAUCGGAAUCUACUCUGUCGUGGGGGAUAACGUAGGGAAACUUACGCUAAUACCGCAUACGGCCUACGGGUGAAAGCAGGGGACCUUCGGGCCUUGCGCGAUUGAAUGAGCCGGUGUCGGAUUAGCUAGUUGGCGGGGUAAAGGCCCACCAAGGCGACGAUCCGUAGCUGGUCUGAGAGGAUGAUCAGCCACACUGGAACGGGGACACGGUCCAGACUCCUACGGGAGGCAGCAGUGGGGAAUAUUGGACAAUGGGCGCAAGCCUGAUCCAGCCAUACCGCGUGGGUGAAGAAGGCCUUCGGGUUGUAAAGCCCUUUUGUUGGGAAAGAAAUCCAGCUGGCUAAUACCCGGUUGGGAUGACGGUACCCAAAGAAUAAGCACCGGCUAACUUCGUGCCAGCCGCCGCCGUAA